rnacentral:rRNA from 1 species
UUGUCGUCAGCUCGUGUCGUGAGAUGUUGGGUUAAGUCCCGCAACGAGCGCAACCCUUGUCUUUAGUUGCCAUCAUUAAGUUGGGCACUCUAGAGAGACUGCCAGGGAUAACCUGGAGGAAGGUGGGGAUGACGUCAAAUCAUCAUGCCCCUUAUGCUUAGGGCUACACACGUGCUACAAUGGGUAGUACAGAGGGUUGCCAAGCCGUAAGGUGGAGCUAAUCCCUUAAAGCUACUCUCAGUUCGGAUUGUAGGCUGAAACUCGCCUACAUGAAGCUGGAGUUACUAGUAAUCGCAGAUCAGAAUGCUGCGGUGAAUGCGUUCCCGGGUCUUGUACACACCGCCCGUCACACCACGGGAGUUGGAGACGCCCGAAGCCGAUUAUCUAACCUUUUGGAAGAAGUCGUCGAAGGUGGAAUCAAUAACUGGGGUGAAGUCGUAACAAGGUAGCCGUAUCGGAAGGUGCGGCUGGAUC